rnacentral:misc_RNA from 1 species
UCCGAGUUGACCCCGGCAGUCUCCCAUGAGUCCCCACCAUUACGUGCUGGCAACAUGGAACGAGGGUUGCGCUCGUUGCGGGACUUAACCCAACACCUCACGACACGAGCUGACGACAGCCAUGCAGCACCUGUCACCCGGUUCCCGAAGGCACCCUCGCAUCUCUGCAAGGUUCCGGGGAUGUCAAAAGCAGGUAAGGUUCUGCGCGUUGCUUCGAAUUAAACCACAUGCUCCACCGCUUGUGCAGGCCCCCGUCAAUUUCUUUGAGUUUUAACCUUGCGGCCGUACUCCCCAGGCGGUGGGCUUAACGCGUUCGCUGCGACACCGAGGGAUUCGACUCCCCCCACACCUAGUGUUCAUCGUUUACGGCUAGGACUAC